rnacentral:sRNA from 1 species
GCAUUUAACUCAGAUGCUGAACGUGAAGGAUAACGUUGCGUCAGCAACGGCCCGAAGGGCGAGGCAAAGCCGAGUCAUCCUGCACGACCUACCA